AAGGUAGCAUAAUCAUUUGCCUCUUAAUUAGUGGCUAGUAUGAAUGGACAAACGAGAAUUCCCCUGUCUCUAUAAAGCCAAUGAAAAUUAAUCUUCAGGUGAAGAAGCCUGAAUCUCAUUAAAAGACAAAAAGACCCUAUUGAGCUUACAUUCAAUCUCUAAAAUAUUAAAAUAAAAUAAAACUACCCUUUUUACAAGAAUUUUGCUGGGGCGGCAAAGGAACAACCAAAAAUUCCUUUUCUCAAAGACUUAUAAGUCUAUUAACUGAUCCGUAUUAACGAUUAACAAAACUAGUUACCAUAGGGAUAACAGGCUAAUUUUUCUCUAAAGCUCACAUUAACAGAAAAGAUUGGCACCUCGAUGUUGGCUUAGGAUAUCCUAAGGGCGCAGAAGCCUUUUAAGGUGGGUUUGUUCAACCUUUAAAAUCCUACGUGAUCUGA
rnacentral:rRNA from 1 species